GUGUGUGGUGUGUGUGGUGUGUGUGGUGUGUGGUGUGUGUGUGUGUGUGUGUGUGUGUGUGUAGGUCAGAUGAAGACUUGAGAAGUUGGUUUGGCAGGAGUGCCUCUGCCACUUAGCUUCCUUGCAGUUUUGUUAAAAGAAAAGUUGUAGGAAUUGGAUGACUGUGAGUGAGUUGCUGCCAUUUUUACUGUUUUUUUUUUUUUUAAUAGAUGUUUUUCUGUGUCUUGGUGUUUAUAACAAAGACCAUACCCCUCACUCCUUCAGUGUGUUUCCUAACAAGAAAAUUCCUUACACAAUGAUAGUACAAUGGUCAGAACUAGGAAAUUAACACUAAUAGAGUACGUCAGUUCACUUGCAAAAAUAUCAUCAUCUGGAGCUGGUGAAGCAGCUCAGGAGGUAAAGGUGUUGUUGGUCAUCGGAGUCUGAGAACCUAACCCACAUGAUGAGAGGGCAGACAGACUCCAUAGGGCUGCUCUGCCCCUGCCUCCCUACAACGUAAACUAAGACAUUGAAAUCCUACUGCCUGCCACAGUGGUCUCUUUUUGUGUGUUUUCUUUUUCUCCUGAUCUAAGUUACACUUUAGUUUCUUUGUAUCUGUACAACUCUUUAGCUAUUUUUUUUUUAUCACACUUGUUUGUGUUGGCAGAGCACGCAUGUGCCGGAGAGAGCUCGUGGAGGUCAGAGGACAACUUUUGAGAGUCAGGCCAGUUCAGUCCCUCCAUCGUGUGGGUUUCAGGGGUUGUCAGGCUUGGCAGCAAGCCCCUUAUUGGCUAAGCCCUCUCAGUGGUCAUUUUUCUUUCUUUCUUUUUCUUAUUACAACAGUGACAUUGUCUCUAAGGCAAAUUGUUAUUGUUGGGAAAGAAAAUAUGUAGAUGCCAUGCCUUCCCUAUACAUCCUACUUGGAGGCCAGUGCUGGGCUAUCCAGAUGUUACUGGUAAGACUAUUUGGGAAAAUAAAUUCUUUUGGAGAAGGGGGGUGUUUCUCAAGACAGGGUUUUUCUGUGUAACCCUGACUGUCCUGGAACUCACUCUGUAGACCGCGGUGCCCUCAAACUUACAGAGACCUAACUAUCUCUGUCUCCUGAAUGCUGGAAUUAAAGGCACGCGCCACCACUGCCCGGCUGUUUGAAACAGUGCUGACUGGAUGCACACAGGAAAAGAAUUCAUGCAACAAGAUAGACUCUUUUCAUUAGUUUGGUUUCUGUUGCUGGGAUAGACACCACGAUCACAAGCAACUAGGGGAGGGAAGGGUUUAUCUCACCUCCUCCUUCCAAGUCAAGGCAGGAACUGGAGGCAGGAACUGAAGCAGAGACCAUGGAGGAGUGCUGAUGACUGGCUUAUUCAACUUGCUUUCCUAUCCCCAGGACUACCUGCUCGGGGUUGGCAGUGCUCGUGGUGCCCAGGAUCUCUCAUUUCAAUCCUUGUUGGCUUGCUUAUGGGCCAAUCAGGAGGAGACAUUUUUCUUAGUUGAGGUUCCCUCUUCCCAGAUGAUCUUUGCUUGUGUCCAGGUGACAGAAACAAACAGACCUGACUAGCACGUUCUACUCGCUUGCACUCUGAAACUUUCUUGUUCUCCUCCUUCUUCCCCAUCUCCCUUCUUCCCCUCAACUGCUCCCCCUUUCUUCUCCUUUUUACCCCCUUUCUCUUCUUCAUCCUCCUGUUCUUUCCUCCUCUGUCCUUCUCUUUUGCUUCCUUUCUCUUGCUGUUUUCUAUCCCUCUCCUCCUCUUCUCCUCUCCUCCUGUCCCGUGUUUUAUGAUACCAUCUCACGUAGCCCAUGCUGGCUUCCAAUUUGCUUUGUAGCCAAAGCUGCUCUUCAUCUUCCUGCUUCAGCCUCCAGAGUGCUGAGAUUGCACGGCCACGGAGCCCCGGGCCCCGUAUGCUAAGUUCUCUGCCAGUAAGAGAUUCUCAACCUCCCCGCCUCAAGCCUGUGCCCUGCAGAAGUGGGUGUAGGUCAAUGGGAGAUCAGAGCUGAACCUUGGUUCUAGAGGUCAAGAGUGGCAUUGCUUUACUACCUGUGGCCCAUCCUUGCUCAGUAUGAGGAAGGCACUUUUCUUUCCUCAGAUGUAUGUCAACACCUAGCAUGCUGUGUGCUUGGUUCACGUUUGUUGCAUGACAUGAGAACAGUUUAUUAAAUGGUGCGUCGAAGAAGACAGCCAUUAUUGAAGGGCAGCUUAUGGCUCCUGUGCUGAACUUAUAGAGCUAAGAGUAGCGAUCGCAAAAGAACCUUCAUAAAACUUCUCUCUCUCUCUCUCUCUCUCUCUCUCUCUCUCUCGUUUUUGUUUUCAAGACAGGUUUUUAUGUGGACUGGGCUGGACCUGUAGCUGAGGCAGGCCUUCCUUAUCCUACCAGUGCUGGGACAGCAGGACAGCAGGACAGCAGGACAGCAGGCCUCCUCUGUUCCAUCUGAUGUUCUGAUGCCUGCAUAUCCUGCUUGGGUCCAGGUUCAGUGCUCGUUUCAAAGAAGGAGACCUUCUGAGGGGGAUAGGAGCUCCACAGGAAGACCAACAGUGUCAACUAACCUGGACCCCUGGAAGCUCUCAGAGACCGAGCCACCAACCAAAGAGCAUUCAUACACGGGCUGCUGGACCCAGGCCACAUAGGUAGCAGAGGGCUGCCUUGUCUGGCCUCAGUGGGAGAGGAUGUGCCCACUCCUACAGAGAAUUGAUGCCUCAGGGCGGGAGGAUACCCAAGGGGCCCCACCCUCUCAGAGUCAAAGGGGAGGGGCAUGGGGCAGAGACUCGUGAGGGGGGGGACUGGGAGGAGGCAGCAUUUCGGAUGUAAAUAAGUAAAUAAAAAGAGAAUGAGAUCCUUAGGCAAAAAGUAAAAGUUUCAAAGAACCUGUGGGAUAACUGCUUAAGUAUUCUUGAAUCUUGAAAUUUCACUGGAGCUACUCCAGGGUAAAGAUUUUUGAGAGCUUUGUAUGGAAAAAAAAAGGAAGAACUUUAAUGGGUUAAUAAAUAAAUCAUAAAUUUAAAAUA